ACCCCAUCUCUACUAAAAAUACAAAAAUUAGCUGGGUGUGGUGGCGCGCCUGUAAUCCCAGCUACUCGGGAGGCUGAGGUGGGAAAAUCACUCGAACCCCGGAGGUGGAGGUUGCAGUGAGCUGGGAUUGUGCCACUGUGCUCCAGCCUGG
rnacentral:snoRNA from 1 species